rnacentral:rRNA from 1 species
CCCUUAGAUGUUCUGGGCUGCACGCGCGCUACACUGAUGCACUCAACGAGUUUACGACCUUGUCCGAGAGGAUUGGGUAAUCUUUUUAAAAUGCAUCGUGAUGGGGAUAGAUUAUUGCAAUUGUUAAUCUUGAACGAGGAAUUCCUAGUAAACGCGAGUCAUCAGCUCGCAUCGAUUACGUCCCUGCCCUUUGUACACACCGCCCGUCGCACCUACCGAUUGAAUGGUUCGGUGAAGAUCUCGGACUUCGAUAUUUAUUCUUUAUUGAGUUUAUAUUGUGGGAAGUUAUCUAAACCUCAUCAUUUAGAGGAAGGUGAAGUCGUAACA